rnacentral:lncRNA from 10 species
CUGCAAAUGAAGCCAGUAGCACAAGAUGUUACCAAAUGAAAGUGUACCACACAGAUCUCCUGCUGCUAGAGCAUAAUUAACUGAUGGCCACAGCUGCUGCCCACUGGGAUCCACCACACUUCCACAGUGUGGCUUCCAACCAAUGACUGAGCAUGGAGAGGUCUGAAGACAGCCUCCUUCCAGCAAGACAUAGGAUGCAAGGGCUCCUUGGCUGAACAU